rnacentral:sRNA from 1 species
ACAAAUGUUACGUUUGGUGGGGGGACGCCCAUCAUCUCGUAAUAUGACUUCUCUGCCUCCGCAAUUCUCGUCUGGAAAAUUCCCCAUUCUUUCCGACAACCACAAACUUUUCCGGGCAUCUCGUUCUCUAUAGAUGUGAUUCUUUUGAUCCUUACCUGGUUCCCAAGAGAAGGAACCACUUGAUGUACAAUCCAUUGGGAAUCAACGACACCGAUUUUCUCAUGUGCAGGCUGCAAAGAUUAAAAUAAUCAGCCAGACAGAUGGAAAUGAUAUGGGCAAAGUCAUACCUGAAUCAUAUGCCAUACACAUCUCCAUGCAUCUCUGGAGAACACCGGGGCCAUUAUUUCAACAAAGCUCACAAGGUGGAAGAUGAGGGUCAGUGCACCAGCCUGUUCUUCCACUUACUUGUGAACCUGGUGAUCCCCUCUUCUUUUGGUCAUCUGCCAUGUCAAUCCCCGAUCUGGCUCUAAACCAGGUUGUGAGAUUUCUAGCUGAUAUUUCUUGACAAGUUUAAUCAUACUCCUCUGCGUUAAAAUGCUCAACUCCAAGAUCCUCGUCCCAGAUAAAUAUGUACUCAUA